GGUUUCACUAUGCAGUUUAGGCUGGCCUUGAGCUCACUUUGUAGCCCAGGCUGGCCUUGAACUUGCAAUGAUUUUCCUGCCUCAGCCUCCCGAGUGCUGGGAUUACAGGCAUGCGCCACCACACCCG
rnacentral:miRNA from 1 species